AAAAUGGUUUUUAUCAAAACUACAGAAAUAUUCUUGAAAUGGAUG
rfam:Tupaia chinensis contig212351, whole genome shotgun sequence.